rnacentral:rRNA from 1 species
AUACGUAGGGGGCGAGCGUUGUCCGGAAUGAUUGGGCGUAAAGGGCGCGUAGGCGGCGCGGUAAGUCUGGAGUGAAAGUCCUGCUUUCAAGGUGGGAAUUGCUUUGGAUACUGCCGCGCUUGAGUGCAGGAGAGGUUAUCGGAAUUCCCGGUGUAGCGGUGAAAUGCGUAGAGAUCGGGAGGAACACCAGUGGCGAAGGCGGGUAACUGGACUGCAACUGACGCUGAGGCGCGAAAGUGUGGGGAGCAAACAGGAUUAGAUACCCUGGUAGUCCACGCUGUAAACGAUGAAUACUAGGUGUGGGGGGACUGACCCCCUCCGUGCCGCAGUUAACACAAUAAGUAUUCCGCCUGGGGAGUACGGCCGCAAGGUUGAAACUCAAAGGAAUUGACGGGG